GAUGAACGCUGGCGGCGUGCUUAACACAUGCAAGUCGAACGAAGCACCUUGAUUUGAUUCUUCGGACGAAGAUCUUGGUGACUGAGUGGCGGACGGGUGAGUAACGCGUGGGUAACCUGCCUCAUACAGGGGGAUAACAGUUAGAAAUGACUGCUAAUACCGCAUAAGACCACAGUACCGCAUGGUACAGGGGUAAAAACUCCGGUGGUAUGAGAUGGACCCGCGUCUGAUUAGGUAGUUGGUGGCGUAACGGCCUACCAAGCCGACGAGCAGUAGCAGACCUGGGAGGGGGACGGGCGAAGUUGGGAGUGAGACACGGCCCAAACUCCUACGGGAGGCAGCAGUGGGGAAUAUUGCACAAUAGGGGAAACCCUGAUGCAGCGACGCCGCGUGAGCGAUGAAGUAUUUCGGUAUGUAAAGCUCUAUCAGCAGGGAAGAAAAUGACGGUACCUGACUAAGAAGCACCGGCUAAAUACGUGCCAGCCGCCGCGGUAA
rnacentral:rRNA from 1 species